GAUUGUGGUGGCCUAAUGGUUAGCGUGUUGGACUUUGAAUCGAGCAGUUCCUGGUUCAAGCCCUGGCCGGGGUCA